UACAGAGGUCUCAAGCGUUGUUCGGAUUCAUUGGGCGUAAAGGGUGCGUAGGCGGCGCGGUAAGUCGGGUGUGAAAUCUCGGAGCUUAACUCCGAAACUGCAUUCGAUACUGCCGUGCUUGAGGACUGGAGAGGAGACUGGAAUUUACGGUGUAGCGGUGAAAUGCGUAGAUAUCGUAAGGAACACCAAAGGCGAAAGCAGGAUCCUGGCCAGCUUCUGACACUCAGGCACGAAGGCUAGGGGAGCAAACGGG
rnacentral:rRNA from 1 species